ACGAACGCUGGCGGCAUGCCUAACACAUGCAAGUCGAACGAGACCUUCGGGUCUAGUGGCGCACGGGUGCGUAACGCGUGGGAAUCUACCCCCAGGUUCGGAAUAACUCAGAGAAAUUUGAGCUAAUACCGGAUGAUGACGUAAGUCCAAAGAUUUAUCGCCUGAGGAUGAGCCCGCGUAGGAUUAGGUAGUUGGUGAGGUAAAGGCUCACCAAGCCGACGAUCCUUAGCUGGUCUGAGAGGAUGAUCAGCCACACUGGGACUGAGACACGGCCCAGACUCCUACGGGAGGCAGCAGUGGGGAAUAUUGGACAAUGGGCGAAAGCCUGAUCCAGCAAUGCCGCGUGAGUGAUGAAGGCCUUAGGGUUGUAAAGCUCUUUUACCCGGGAUGAUAAUGACAGUACCGGGAGAAUAAGCGCCGGCUAACUCCGUG
rnacentral:rRNA from 1 species